AAUAUUGCACAAUGGGGGAAACCCUGAUGCAGCGACGCCGCGUGAGCGAAGAAGGCCUUCGGGUCGUAAAGCUCUGUCCUAAGGGAAGAAACGGACGGUACCAGAGGAGGAAGCCCCGGCUAACUACGUGCCAGCAGCCGCGGUAAUACGUAGGGGGCUAGCGUUGUCCGGAUUUACUGGGCGUAAAGGGUGAGUAGGCGGUAACGUGUGUCAGAUGUUUAAUCUAUGGGCUCAACCCAUAUCAGCAUUUGAAACUACGUAACUUGAGUGCAGGAGAGGUAAGUGGAAUUCCUAGUGUAGCGGUGGAAUGCGUAGAUAUUAGGAGGAACACCAGUGGCGAAGGCGACUCUCUGGACUGCAACUGACGCUGAGGCACGAAAGCGUGGGGAGCGAACAGG
rnacentral:rRNA from 1 species